rnacentral:rRNA from 1 species
AUGACCUGGAACGUACGCGGCCUGAACUCGCUGGCAAAGAGAGAAGCCGUUAGAGAAGUAGUUGCUGCUCAUUGUGUUGCCAUUCUGUGCAUGCAAGAGACCAAGAUAGACGUUUGGUCACCAGCCCUCGUCCGCGACAUUGGUGGCCCAACGCUGCAGGGCUGCGCGGUCAUGCCCGCCAUCGGCACCCGCGGUGGCAUUGCCAUUCUGUGG